CCCGUCUCCAUGGGAACGAUCUGAGUGUCUUCUCCGCGUCCUGGGGCGUCGGUUUCGGUCCAGCCCGGCUGCGGCCCUUGUUUGCUGGGACAGUCCUUGGGCCGGUCUCCGUCCCUGUCCAGAGGCUCCGUACGUGAGGCGGACUCUCGGGAGCACCGAGCCGGGCGCGGAUAAGGGCGAGGACAGCUGUUGCAGGAACGGGGGCAGAAAAGGAGGACCAGGGGCCGAGAAGUCGCUCUGGCUACGAAAUUUCAGACACCGUUGUAAAUGGGUGCUUCACAGCCGCCCGCCCCACGUUAAAACUGAAGAAGAGGUGCAAGGAGGCGGAAGCAGCUUGGGCCUCGGGACCGAGGGUCCUGUGAUCAGCAAGGGAGGACCAGAGAGGCUCAUGCCUCCGUUUUACAGCUCAGCCUUCUCGACCCUCCACCCUUCCCCAAAAAAGGAGCACAAAGGAGCAAGCAGGGGUCACGCCUUUCCUCACAGUCUGACCCGGUUACGUGAGGCAGCCCGAGGUAACCAGAUCCACGUCUACGAAGAGGAGAAAUAGAACCUACCGUGGCGGGUUGUUAAGAAGAUUCGCUAAGUUCAUUCAUUUGAAAAACUCAUCACAGAGCUUGACAAACAGGCCUAACCAUUGGCUGCGAUUAUGUUAUCAUCACAGGGAGCAAGAACCUUGGCCGCCGUCUCGGUUUCCCGAAUACUUACUGGUCUCUAGUUUUAUGUGACUUUUAAGAUCUGUGUGGGCAUUUUUUAUAUUGGCAUUUGUACUUCACUAGGAAUUUGUCCUUUUAUGUAGAGGUUCACGUGUAUUUGCAUAUAGUUCAUAAUACC
rnacentral:lncRNA from 1 species